rnacentral:tRNA from 1 species
UCCUCGGUAGUAUAGUGGUCAGUAUCCCCGCCUGUCACGCGGGAGGCCGGGGUUCAGGCCCCACCGGGGUA